rnacentral:rRNA from 1 species
UACGAAGGGGGCGAGCGUUGUUCGGAUUUACUGGGCGUAAAGGGCGCGCAGGCGGCUCAUUUUGUCAGGCGUGAAAGCCCCGGGCUUAACCUGGGGGCUGCGCUUGAUACAUGUUGACUUGAGUGUGGAAGAGGGUCGUGGAAUUCCCAGUGUAGAGGUGAAAUUCGUAGAUAUUCGGAAGAACACCAGUGGCGAAGGCGGCUCACUGGCCCGGUACUGACGCUGAGGUGCGAAAGCGUGGGGAGCAAACAGG